GACUGUGUAUAUGGCGAUUUAUCGUGCAAGUAAUAAUUCUUGGAAUACGCGUGGAUUAUUGGAAGCUCCGUGUAUAUCGGGGAAUCUAAUAUUCACGUACGCAUUGUAUUCAGAUGUAAUCCCAUAACGUUCGAAUGUGUUGACUUAUUCGCACGACGAGUGAUAGGAAUAAGGGCGUACCCCAUCUGCUAAAUUUGACACAUGAAUAUUCAACGAGCGUAUCAUUCGAAUAUCGAGUUCGAAAGCACCUCGAUUCCUGUAACGUACGCGAUGUUGGCGUCAUUACAUCGGAAGCGGUCGCGCGUGCGGAAAUAUGUGUUGCGAGGGUCGAUCUUUUCGAGCGGUGUGCGCGCGUGUGUGCUAUAAAGGGAUAGCCAGAGGUCUAAUUGCAGCCAUCAGCGAAAGCCGGCGAACCGGAAGCGGGCGGAAACUUUGAGCAUUCUUCGCGAGGUCCUUCAUCGAGCGUCGAGCGCGUUGAGAGAAUUCCACGGCAAUAGCAGCUCCGCGCUCUCUUUCGCAGGUGAUCUCUCGCGCAAAGGCUUUGGUCCAUUUUUCAGUAUUAGGAGGAAGCGAUAGCCGCCGAGGCGAUCGGUAAUCGAUAUCCGUGG